UACGUAGGGGGCAAGCGUUGUCCGGAUUCAUUGGGCGUAAAGGGCGGGUAGGCGGCCACCGCAAGUCAGUUGUGAAAUCUCUGGGCUUAACCCAGAAAGGUCAACUGAUACUGCGGGGCUAGAGUGCAGAAGGGGCAACUGGAAUUCUCGGUGUAGCGGUGAAAUGCGUAGAUAUCGAGAGGAACACCUGCGGCGAAGGCGGGUUGCUGGGCUGACACUGACGCUGAGGCGCGAAAGCUAGGGGAGCGAACG
rnacentral:rRNA from 1 species